UGAACGCUGGCGGCAGGCCUAACACAUGCAAGUCGAACGGUAGCACAGAGAGCUUGCUCUUGGGUGACGAGUGGCGGACGGGUGAGUAAUGUCUGGGAAACUGCCUGAUGGAGGGGGAUAACUACUGGAAACGGUAGCUAAUACCGCAUAACGUCUUCGGACCAAAGUGGGGGACCUUCGGGCCUCACACCAUCGGAUGUGCCCAGAUGGGAUUAGCUAGUAGGUGGGGUAAUGGCUCACCUAGGCGACGAUCCCUAGCUGGUCUGAGAGGAUGACCAGCCACACUGGAACUGAGACACGGUCCAGACUCCUACGGGAGGCAGCAGUGGGGAAUAUUGCACAAUGGGCGCACGCCUGAUGCAUCCCUGCCUCGUGUAUGAAGA
rnacentral:rRNA from 1 species